rnacentral:rRNA from 1 species
AGGGAAUCUUCCACAAUGGACGCAAGUCUGAUGGAGCAACGCCGCGUGAGUGAAGAAGGCUUUCGGGUCGUAAAACUCUGUUAUUGAAGAAGAACGUGUGUGACAGUAACUGGUCAUGCAGUGACGGUAUUCAAUCAGAAAGUCACGGCUAACUACGUGCCAGCAGCCGCGGUAAUACGUAGGUGGCAAGCGUUGUCCGGAUUUAUUGGGCGUAAAGCGAGUGCAGGCGGUCUUUUAAGUCUGAUGUGAAAGCCUUCGGCUUAACCGAAGAAGGGCAUCGGAAACUGGGAGACUUGAGUGCAGAAGAGGAGAGUGGAACUCCAUGUGUAGCGGUGAAAUGCGUAGAUAUAUGGAAGAACACCAGUGGCGAAGGCGGCUCUCUGGUCUGUAACUGACGCUGAGGCUCGAAAGCGUGGGUAGCAAACAGGAUUAGAUACCCUGGUAGUCCGCGCCGUAAACGAUGAAUACUAAGUGUUGGAGGGUUUCCGCCCUUCAGUGCUGCAGCUAACGCAUUAAGUAUUCCGCCUGGGG